GUUUCCGUAGCUCAGAUGGAUAGAGCGACCGCCUCCUAAGCGGUAGGCCAGCGGUUCGAAUCCGCUCGGGAACACCA
rnacentral:tRNA from 1 species